GUGAAUUAAACAUGCUUGGUGUCUUCGCUUCGGCAAGGCCCUUGCUUAAAUCACAUCCUAACACCUGUGAACUGUAAGACGUAUGAUGAGGUCUUUGGCCAAGUCAUCGUCUGCCCAUUUUUAACAAACAAUUAAUGUAACAAACGUAGUCUUAUUAUAACCUAAUA
rnacentral:misc_RNA from 3 species